GUGGUAUCUUGCUGAUUUGUUCUACAGCCGUUAGGAUGCCAGGUGUGGUAUCUUGCUGAUUUGUUCUACAGCCGUUAGGAUGCCAGGUGUGGUAUCUUGCUGAUUUGUUCUACAGCCGUUAGGAUGACAGGUGUGGUAUCUUGCUGAUUUGUUCUACAGCCGUUAGGGUGACAGGUGUGGUAUCUUGCUGAUUUGUUCUACAGCCGUUAGGGUGCCAGGUGUGGUAUCUUGCUGAUUUGUUCUACAGCCGUUAGGAUGCCAGGUGUGGUAUCUUGCUGAUUUGUUCUACAGCCGUUAGGAUGCCAGGUGUGGUAUCUUGCUGAUUUGUUCUACAGCCGUUAGGAUGCCAGGUGUGGUAUCUUGCUGAUUUGUUCUACAGCCGUUAGGAUGACAGGUGUGGUAUCUUGCUGAUUUGUUCUACAGCCGUUAGGGUGACAGGUGUGGUAUCUUGCUGAUUUGUUCU